GGGCAUGGAACCAAAAGCCCCAGAUUGGGGAGGAAUACAAAGAUCCUGUCAGGAACGAACGGACCUCGGGACUUCGGAGUCACCAUGGCCCUGGAAAGACCCGAGUGUCACAGCCCAGGCCUGUGCAUCAUCAGAUCCAGGACCGGUCCUGCUGCUGUCCUUCACAGGAGGGGAGAAGAACACAGGUGCGACAACUCACUGCGGAAAGAUCAUUCCUGUUCUGUGACAGAAGAAGAAAUGCUGAUGGCCCACAUGAUACUGUGGGUCUCCACGGCGACACUGCAUACAGAGCAGCCCCUGAAGAAUGCUGAAGGGAAGGCCAAGAGCUCUGAAAGAUCCCUGGAAGGGAGCCAAAAGCGCACUGCUUAACCUCUGUCCAACCCGUAUAGUGGCUAUCGCGCUCAGGGCAGGUCUUGCUUGUUGUGAUGGCGUACACCUAUAACCACAACACUUGGGAGGCUGAGGUAAGAGGACCGAAUUCUAGGACAACCUGUGCUAAAUAGUGAGGACCCUAUCUCAAAGAUACACACACGCACACACACAAGCACUCACACACCCACACACCUCUGUAGAAUGUAGAAAAAAAAAAGUGGUUUUGACCCAAGAGUCACUGAAGAAAGGAAAAUGACCUGGGGUUCCCCGGGGUCCCUGUUAGAACAUCUGUUGUUGUCACCUGUUGAAGCUGUUGCUGGUCCCCUAAAUGUCUUCCUUCCAGAGAUUACAGGACACCGAAGAAUGCUAUUCCAGAGGAUGCAGUGGGAAAUAUCCGGAACCUCACAGGAAUGACACAGGGCCAAACCCAGGUUCAGCAAGCACCCUUUGGCCACCUGCUGUGAGCCGAGGCAACCUCCACAGAGAUUCACAGCCAGCGGGUCCCGACAACACAGCAAUUUCAUUUGGGAAAAACGCUUGCUGUGAAUAUUGACUAAUAUUUUUCUGAGUUUACUAGGUGCCCACUGUUUUAAAAGACAUUAAACAAGACGAUCAGAUUCUUGCCUUCAAGCAACUUGUCUUUCAAUGACUUUUCUACAUAUGGUGUGUUCUCUACUUAUUAUUUUUUCUCUACUUAUUUUU
rnacentral:lncRNA from 1 species